UACGGAGGGUGCAAGCGUUAUCCGGAUUCACUGGGUUUAAAGGGCGCGUAGGUGGUCAUGUAAGUCAGUGGUGAAAUCUCCGAGCUUAACUCGGAAACUGCCGUUGAUACUAUUUGUCUUGAAUAUUGUGGAGGUAAGCGGAAUAUGUCAUGUAGCGGUGAAAUGCUUAGAUAUGACAUAGAACACCAAUUGCGAAGGCAGCUUACUACACAACGAUUGACGCUGAGGCACGAAAGCGUGGGGAUCAAACAGG
rnacentral:rRNA from 1 species